rnacentral:lncRNA from 1 species
ACCGGCGUAUUGCCAUUAGUUCCUGACUUCCAGAGGCUCAUCAUGUCGGAAACUGCUCCUGCUGCCCCUGCUGCCGCGCCCCCUGCGGAAAAGGCGCCGGCCAAGAAGAAGGCUGCCAAGAAGCCUGCAGGGAUGCGCCGGAAGGCGUCCGGACCCCCGGUGUCCGAGCUCAUCACUAAGGCCGUGGCUGCCUCCAAGGAGCGCAGCGGCGUGUCCCUGGCUGCGCUCAAGAAGGCGCUGGCGGCGGCCGGUUACGAUGUGGAGAAGAACAACAGCCGCAUCAAACUCGGGCUGAAGAGCCUGGUGAGCAAGGGCAUCCUGGAUUCCGAACUUUGCGCUUCCUGUGGAAAAACGCGUUCCGGACUUACCCUCUGGGCUCAGCGUCUCCUGUGGGUGUUAGCCUUGAAGUGUGGGAGGAAGUCCGAUGCUGGCGCCAAGACAUAUGAGGGGGCAGCUACCUGGACGACUGACCUCAGUUAAGUCUGAUCUGGGGCUGAAUGAUUGUUUCUUGUACUUAACAGUUUGUUUGCUACAGCGAUGGAGUGAUGGAUUGAACUGCGUCACAACCUUGGUCAGCCAUUUUUUUUUCUUUUUAAAGUUUAUUACCAUUACGGAUUACUUGUUUUGCCUCCUGUUGACUCAAGACAAUUGUAGAUUAACAUUGCCUCAGUUUCCCGAAGGGCUUAAGGUAGACGUAUGUCAUCACUAAAGAUCGACCUCACAUAAAUACUGAGGUUUUUUGGUAAUGCUUUGUUCAGUUAAUACAUUGGCUGUGUGCUUAUAAUAAAAAACCUUUAGUUUUUAUUC